AGAGUUUGAUCCUGGCUCAGGACGAACGCUGGCGGCGUGCUUAACACAUGCAAGUCGAACGGACUGACAUGGAAGCUUGCUUCUAUGAAGGUUAGUGGCGAACGGGUGAGUAACGCGUAAUCAACCUGCCCAUCAGAGGGGGACAACAGUUGGAAACGACUGCUAAUACCGCAUACGAUCCAAUCCCGGCAUCGGGACUGGAUGAAAGGUGGCCUCUAUUUAUAAGCUAUCACUGAAGGAGGGGAUUGCGUCUGAUUAGCUAGUUGGAGGGGUAACGGCCCACCAAGGCGAUGAUCAGUAGCCGGUCUGAGAGGAUGAACGGCCACAUUGGGACUGAGACACGGCCCAAACUCCUACGGGAGGCAGCAGUGGGGAAUCUUCCGCAAUGGACGAAAGUCUGACGGAGCAACGCCGCGUGAGUGAUGACGGCCUUCGGGUUGUAAAGCUCUGUUAAUCGGGACGAAUGGUUCUUGUGCGAAUAGUGCGAGGAUUUGACGGUACCGGAAUAGAAAGCCACGGCUAACUACGUGCCAGCAGCCGCGGUAAUACGUAGGUGGCAAGCGUUGUCCGGAAUUAUUGGGCGUAAAGCGCGCGCAGGCGGAUUGGUCAGUCUGUCUUAAAAGUUCGGGGCUUAACCCCGUGAUGGGAUGGAAACUGCCAAUCUAGAGUAUCGGAGGGGAAAGUGGAAUUCCUAGUGUAGCGGUGAAAUGCGUAGAUAUUAGGAGGAACACCAGUGGCGAAGGCGACUUUCUGGACGAUCACUGACGCUGAGGCGCGAAAGCCAGGGGAGCGAACGGGAUUAGAUACCCCGGUAGUCCUGGCCGUAAACGAUGGGUACUAGGUGUAGGAGGUAUCGACCCCUUCUGUGCCGGAGUUAACGCAAUAAGUACCCCGCCUGGGGAGUACGACCGCAAGGUUGAAACUCAAAGGAAUUGACGGGGGCCCG
rnacentral:rRNA from 1 species